UACGGGGGGAGCAAGCGUUGUUCGGAUUUACUGGGCGUAAAGGGCGCGUAGGCGGCCACCGCAAGUCGACUGUGAAAUCUCCGGGCUUAACCCGGAAAGGUCAGCCGAUACUGCGGGGCUAGAGUGCAGAAGGGGCAACUGGAAUUCUCGGUGUAGCAGUGAAAUGCGUAGAUAUCGAGAGGAACACCUGCGGCGAAGGCGGGUUGCUGGGCUGACACUGACGCUGACAGCGCGAAAGCCAGGGGAGCGAACGGG
rnacentral:rRNA from 1 species